CAGGCCUAACACAUGCAAGUCGAACGGUAAMGGUCUUCGGAUGCUGACGAGUGGCGAACGGGUGAGUAAUACAUCGGAACGUGCCCGAUCGCGGGGGAUAACGGAGCGAAAGCUUUGCUAAUACCGCAUACGAUCUACGGAUGAAAGCAGGGGACCGCAAGGCCUUGCGCGGACGGAGCGGCCGAUGGCAGAUUAGGUAGUUGGUGGGGUAACGGCCCACCAAGGCAUCGACGGGUAGCUGGUCUGAGAGGACGAUCAGCCACACUGGGACUGAGACACGGCCCAGACUCCUACGGGAGGCAGCAGUGGGGAAUAUUGGACAAUGGGGGCAACCCUGAUCCAGCCAUGCCGCGUGUGUCAAGAAGGUCUUCGGAUUGUAAAGCACUUUAAGUUGGGAGGAAGGGCAGUAAGUUAAUACCUUGCUGUUUUGACGUUACCGACAGAAUAAGCACCGGCAAACUCCGUGCCAGCAGCCGCGGUAAU
rnacentral:rRNA from 1 species